rnacentral:rRNA from 1 species
AGAGUUUGAUCCUGGCUCAGGAUGAACGCUGGCGGCGUGCCUAACACAUGCAAGUCGAGCGAUCUUCUUCGGAAGAGAGCGGCGGACGGGUGAGUAACGCGUGGGUAACCUGCCCUGUACACACGGAUAACAUACCGAAAGGUAUGCUAAUACGAGAUAAUAUACUUUUAUCGCAUGGUAGAAGUAUCAAAGCUCUGGCGGUACAGGAUGGACCCGCGUCUGAUUAGCUAGUUGGUAAGGUAACGGCUUACCAAGGCGACGAUCAGUAGCCGACCUGAGAGGGUGAUCGGCCACAUUGGAACUGAGACACGGUCCAAACUCCUACGGGAGGCAGCAGUGGGGAAUAUUGCACAAUGGGCGAAAGCCUGAUGCAGCAACGCCGCGUGAGCGAUGAAGGCCUUCGGGUCGUAAAGCUCUGUCCUCAAGGAAGAUAAUGACGGUACUUGAGGAGGAAGCCCCGGCUAACUACGUGCCAGCAGCCGCGGUAAUACGUAGGGGGCUAGCGUUAUCCGGAAUUACUGGGCGUAAAGGGCGCGUAGGUGGUUUCUUAAGUCAGAGGUGAAAGGCUACGGCUCAACCGUAGUAAGCCUUUGAAACUGGGAAACUUGAGUGCAGGAGAGGAGAGUGGAAUUCCUAGUGUAGCGGUGAAAUGCGUAGAUAUUAGGAGGAACACCAGUUGCGAAGGCGGCUCUCUGGACUGUAACUGACACUGAGGCACGAAAGCGUGGGGAGCAAACAGGAUUAGAUACCCUGGUAGUCCACGCCGUAAACGAUGAGUACUAGCUGUCGGAGGUUACCCCCUUCGGUGGCGCAGCUAACGCAUUAAGUACUCCGCCUGGGAAGUACGCUCGCAAGAGUGAAACUCAAAGGAAUUGACGG